rnacentral:tRNA from 22 species
GGAAGCGUUUUCUAUCCGGUGAUAGGCCCGGUCUUCAAAACCGGUGGUAGGUCGAGAGGUCUACGGUAGGUUCGACUCCUAUACGCUUCC